CUGCCACUGCUCUCUGCUCCCAGGAGUCCAUUCCUCCCUACAUAUGGACAGUUCUUCCAUGAAUUGCUUCUGUUCUUGGCUAUCAUAUACUUUUUUCUCACUUAUCUUGCCUUUUACGUUCCUUUUUUUCAAUACUUUCCCAGCUUCCUAACUUUGGCACUGGCCAGACUCAGCCACCCAGAGUGGCAAUUGCUACCAUUUGAGGAAAGCUUUACAGCACAGUGGUUACAUGUGUGUGGACUCGGCAUUCAGAGAACUUUGGUUCCAAUCUCAACACGGCCACUUGAGUUCUGCAACCUUGGGCAAGUUAGUUUUUCUCUCUGGGCCUUGUUCCUUAAUGUGUAAAACAAACUUAAUAGUAAUAUUGUGGAAUGUUGUAAGAAUAAAAUGAACAAGGAAUGAAAAGUUACGACAGUCGCAAAAAAUGAGACCCAUUAUUAUUGGAGGGUAAAGUUUACAGUACCAGAUUAUCUUUCCAAAUUUUGGUUCUAUAAAAUGUGGCUCUAUCAUUGCUAAGCCAGAACUCUGAGACAUUUUAAAGGCACAAUAGACCUUUGAUACAAAGGACUGAAUCACCUUUAAGAGUGCCAGGCAAUAUUGAAUUAGCUACUCAUCUCCUAUGAUCCUUCCUCCCUUCUCCCCCAGCAUCUAAUUUGAAGUAAUAUCCAUUUAUCUCCAGUUAGUCCUUUAAGCAAUUAGCCCCCUUGUUUUCUCCUUUUCAUAUACCCUCCUAUUCUCCCCAUUUUUUUUUUUUUAUCAUAGCACUCUGCCUAUAUUGUCAAAACAUUUUGCAAGUACUGUCCCCCCAUUGUUUAGAAUUAGAUCUACAGGUAAAUACACAUUUAAUGCUUACCACUGGGCAUUAAGUCAAUGCCUCUAUAGUCCUAAUGUUUGUCUGGUUUGUUUUCUAAUGGAUUCUCAAAGAAGGAAUAUUCCCUGGGUUUUUGUUUGUUUAAAACAAUUUUCUGUAGCCUUUAUACUUGAAAAUCAAUUUGGCUAGAUAUAAAAUCCUUGGCUCACAUUUUCUUUACUUGAUUAUCUUAAAUAUCAUUGUCUUUUGACACAGUGCUGCUGCUGAAAGAUGGUGAUAAUCUGGUUUUCUUUUCCUUGUAAGUAAUUUAUUAUUACUCUAUUUUUACCUAGAUGCUUAAAGGAUAUUUUUCUUUUUUUAAAAUCUGGAGGCUUAACUAUUUGGUAUUAGAUGUCCUGGAUUAAUUUUCCCAAGUAUGUAGUGUGUCCUUUCUAUAUCAAGUUUUCCUGUUUUACCAUUUUUAGCAUUUGUUCUCCUCCCUUGUUGUGGUUUUCGUCCUCAAAGAUUAUUAUCAAUAUACACACAUACACAUAAAUAAAUAGGAUCUUCUUUACCUCUCUUCUAUAUUUUCUCUCUCAUCUCUUCUUAUUUUUCUUCUGAUUUUUAAAAAUUUGCUCCUUUCCAAGUUGUGUUUCUUUUAAGGCACUAUUUAUUAUGUUUAGUUACUCUUGUGUUGCUGCUAGUGUAGUCUUUACUUCUGAACCAUUUUAAUCUUUUAUUUCUAAAUUCUUUCCAAGUUCUAUAAAAUCUCUUCAAAUCAUUCCAUUCUUUAAAUAUUUCAUUUCUGAGUUAUUUUAUGUUGAUCUUCAUAACUUCUAUUACUUUCUUAAUUCCUUUGAGUUCAUUUUAAAAUAUUAGACUAUAAUUUCCAAGUGUUCUGUGUGCAUGUCGUUCUGGCAUUUAUUGUCCACAGAGAUGGCAGUCUGGUCUUACUUUCUUUUUUCAUGAGAUUUCAUGGGAUUCAAUUGUUUCUCUUUUAUGUUGGUCAUUUUUAAGUGAAAUGGGUGGGUCAGGAUAGUUCUUUUAGCUUCAUGGUUUCCAUGUUCCCUCUUCUGUUGUGAUCACAAAGUGACAAAAAUAGUCCUACCUUUUCUGAAACUUGCCUCCUCUAUAUCCUUUCCUUUCCUCAUUUUUGUCUGGUACUUCUCAUUUCUUUGCCCCUGAUUUUUCCCAUCCCACUCAAGUUCACAGGAUCCAAAGCACACCAAUGCUCAAUCUUCUCGCACUCAUCAGCAAAUUGUAUUCUGCAGAGCCUGUUUUCUCCCAUUCCAGUUUCACAAGCUGUUCUCACAUGGCCCACUUUACUCUCCAAUGAGUACCUUCAGAAAAUUUUAUAGAUUGCCUCCUCUGUAGUCAUCAAGUGGCUACAUGGCUUUACUUCUGCUUUCAGCCUCAAAAGAUGCUAAUAUCACACAGGUUGGUCAUUGUUCCACUUAUACAUGGGAUGUGGAGAUAUCUUGUCAUCUAAUCAUAGAGUUAAGUUAUGUUUUUCUAAUUGCUCUGUGUCUUUUCAGGUGACAUCCACGGAGAUUAAAAAACUAUACCACCACCUGAGUGUGCAUUUACUAAUGAACUUAUUUUAAAGGUGAUAUUUCCAUUUUAAAAUAUGUCUAGGUAAGAUCCCAUAUAACGCAUCAAAUAAUAAAGGUUACACUGACAUGUUCUGGGACAGGCUCUAUACCAGUAAACACUAUUAAUCUGUUAUUUCGUCCAUAUCAUUGAAAUAGACUCAUACCAUGGUCCUAUCAGUCAGUCAUUAAAUCAGUGGUAAAAAAUGACUGACUGAAAAUAACAUUACAAUUGACU
rnacentral:lncRNA from 1 species